rnacentral:lncRNA from 1 species
CCAGCAGGGGAAAGGCAAGUGGAAGAGAAAACGGCUAGGGCGGAGAAGGUGGAGGAGAAGGCUUCCUCCGACGACGAGCAGACGGCGGGCGGUGGAGACUCAGGCGCAGAGAGAGAGACGAGAGAGAGAGAGAGAGAGAGAGAGAGAGAGAGAGAGAGAGAGAAUUGAGAUUAAGAGUUUAUUAGUUGAACAAUUAGUGAUCUCAUUUAAUGUUAAGCAUCCCCUUAUUAUUUCCUUUUUAGGAAACGGGACAUUAUCGGUGGGACAACCCAAAAAGGAAAAUGGGACUUGAAUAGCGGGACGGAGGGAGUACUAACUUGAUAAGCAGCCUGACUCUUUUUAUAAAAUAUAUAUGGAGAGUUAUUUGGGAAACAUUGCUACUUCAAAUUGGCUUAUUAAAUGUUUGACUAUAGUUUUAUAUAAUUAUUUUAGGUUUUCAAGAGAUGCCUUCCACACAUUAAGGAUUAUGCUUUAGCUGUUUGAAAUUUUGAAACCAGUGACACAUUUUAGUCAAGAAAAUGAACUCACUUUUUUCUUGAUUCUAUAUAUAUAUAUAUAUAUUUAUAUAUUAUUUAUGCAUUUUAAUUUUGUAUUAUAAUUUACUUCAAUAAAAUUAAUAUAAUUACAUGAAUAAAAUAAUUUUUUUAAAUAAUAAAAUAUAAUUUAAAACUAAUAUAGUUAUACUAAUAUAAUUUAAAGCUAAUAUAGUUUACUUUAGAUGAAUUACUUGCUGUUUAGUUUGAGUAAUGAGUUAACCAUUACUCUUAGAGGAUGUUUGGCUAAGCUUAUUUUAAGAGCUUAUAGGAUAUUUCAAGAACUUAUAAAUUGUCAUAAGUGUUUGGAUAAUUGAGUUUAUNAUGAUGUUCCCUCCAACAGCACUAUUCAUCUUCCCUCCUAUAAAUACCCGGCGACUCACACUGAUGACACUAUAAAAUAUUAAAAUAUGGUAUAGACAUAGUUAAAAGAGAAAGAUUUAGAGGUUGUGAAUUUGUAUUGUAUUGCUUGAGUUAUUGAGAAUUACAGCAACCCUUUUAUAGGGUUGGAGAAAGAUAUACAAGAAAAUAAUAAAUAAGACGGAUGAGUGCCGUGACGCAGCUAGAGCUUCCGACCCUCAAGGAGCAGGAGAGAAAGCUAGGGCGGAGGAGGUGGAGGAGAAGGCUUCCUCCGGCGACGAGCAGACAACGGGCAGUGGAGACUCGGGCGCAGAGAGAGAGAGACGAGAGAGAGAGAGAUAAUAGAGGGGAAAUUAAUUAGGGUCCCUUGAAUUCCAAAAUUAAUUAAGGGUUUAUUAGUUGAACAAUUUGUGGCUUAAUUUACUUUAACUAUGCCCUUAUUAUUUCCUAAAAUAGAAACGAGACAUUAUCGGUGGGACAACACAAAAAGAAAUACGAGACAUGAAUAGCGGGACGGAGGGAGUACUUUGUUUUACUUUUACUUUUCAUCAUUUCACCAUUCCCAAUAUUAAUCAUUCCCUCCGUCCUAGUUUUUAGUAUCCAUUUGAGAGUGACAUGAGUUUUAAUAAAGUGGUUGAGUGUGUUAUGAGUGGAAUAAGGAUCCUACAUUUUAUGUGAGUGUUAAAAUAAUUAAAUUGGG